rnacentral:rRNA from 1 species
AGUGGCGGACGGGUGAGUAACGCGUGAGAAUCUGCCUUGGGGUCGGGGACAACCACUGGAAACGGUGGCUAAUACCGGAUAAGCCGAUUGGUGAAAGAUUUAUUGCCCGAAGAGGAGCUCGCGUCUGAUUAGCUAGUUGGUGAGGUAAGAGCUCACCAAGGCAGCGAUCAGUAGCUGGUCUGAGAGGACGAUCAGCCACACUGGGACUGAGACACGGCCCAGACUCCUACGGGAGGCAGCAGUGGGGAAUUUUCCGCAAUGGGCGAAAGCCUGACGGAGCAAGACCGCGUGAGGGAGGAAGGCUCUUGGGUUGUAAACCUCUUUUCUCAGGGAAGAAGCUCUGACGGUACCUGAGGAAUCAGCCUCGGCUAACUCCGUGCCAGCAGCCGCGGUAAUACGGAGGAGGCAAGCGUUAUCCGGAAUUAUUGGGCGUAAAGCGUCCGCAGGUGGCGAUUCAAGUCUGCUGUCAAAGCACGGGGCUUAACUCCGUAAAGGCAGUGGAAACUGAAUAGCUAGAGUGCCGUAGGGGUAGAGGGAAUUCCCGGUGUAGCGGUGAAAUGCGUAGAGAUCGGGAAGAACAUCGGUGGCGAAAGCGCUCUACUGGACGGCAACUGACACUCAGGGACGAAAGCUAGGGGAGCGAAUGGGAUUAGAUACCCC